rnacentral:misc_RNA from 1 species
GAUGAAGAACGCAGUGAAAUGCGAUACGUAAUGUGAAUUGCAGAAUUCAGUGAAUCAUCGAAUCUUUGAACGCACAUUGCGCUCUCUGGUAUUCCGGAGAGCAUGCUUGUUUGAGUAUCAGUAAACACCUCAACUCCUUUAUUGUAGUUGGACUUGAGCUAUCCCAACAGGACUUUUUGUUCCUGGCGGGAGGCUUGAAAUGCAGGUGCAGCUGGACUUUCUUCUGAGCUAUAAGCAUAUUUAUUUAAUCCCUUAACACGGAUUAUUACUUUUUUGCUGCAGCUAACAUAAAGGUUGAAUUUCCAUUGAGCUGACUGAUGCAGGAAUUUGGCAAGGAAUUUUUUUAAUGACUUGUUAAACUCGAUCUCAAAUCAAGUAAGACUACCCGCUGAACUUAAGCAUAUCAAUAAGCGGAG